rnacentral:siRNA from 1 species
GCUUAGAUGAUGGACCUUAUAAU